ACUCCUACGGGAGGCAGCAGUGGGGAAUAUUGCACAAUGGGGAAACCCUGAUGCAGCCAUGCCGCGUGUGUGAAGAAGGCCUUCGGGUUGUAAAGCACUUUCAGUAGGGAGGAAGGUAGUGUAGUUAACACCUGCACUAUUUGACGUUACCUACAGAAGAAGCACCGGCUAACUCCGUGCCAGCAGCCGCGGUAAUACGGAGGGUGCGAGCGUUAAUCGGAAUUACUGGGCGUAAAGCGCAUGCAGGCGGCCUGUUAAGUCAGAUGUGAAAGCCCGGGGGCUUAACCUCGGAAUUGCAUUUGAAACUGGCAGGCUAGAGUCUUGUAGAGGGGGUAGAAUUUCAGGUGUAGCGGUGAAAUGCGUAGAGAUCUGAAGGAAUACCAGUGGCGAAGGCGGCCCCCUGGACAAAGACUGACGCUCAGAUGCGAAAGCUGGGGAGCAAACAGGAUUAGAUACCCUGGUAGCACAGAG
rnacentral:rRNA from 1 species